rnacentral:rRNA from 1 species
AACGAACGCUGGCGGCAGGCCUAACACAUGCAAGUCGAACGCCGUAGCAAUACGGAGUGGCAGACGGGUGAGUAACACGUGGGAACGUGCCCGAAGGUACGGAACAACUCCGGGAAACUGGAGCUAAUACCGUAUGUGACCGAGAGGUGAAAGAUUUAUCGCCUUCGGAUCGGCCCGCGUCUGAUUAGCUAGUUGGUGGGGUAAUGGCCUACCAAGGCUACGAUCAGUAGCUGGUCUGAGAGGAUGAUCAGCCACACUGGGACUGAGACACGGCCCAGACUCCUACGGGAGGCAGCAGUGGGGAAUCUUGGACAAUGGGCGCAAGCCUGAUCCAGCCAUGCCGCGUGGAUGAUGAAGGCCCUAGGGUUGUAAAAUCCUUUCGUCAGGGACGAUAAUGACGGUACCUGAAGAAGAAGCCCCGGCUAACUUCGUGCCAGCAGCCGCAGUAACAC